GACGGAGGGUGCAAGCGUUGUUCGGAAUUACUGGGCGUAAAGGGCGCGUAGGCGGUCUGUUAAGUUCGGUGUGAAAGCCCCCGGCUCACCUGGGGAACUGCGCCGGAAACCGACAGACUCGAGUACCGGAGAGGAGAGUGGAAUUCCCAGUGUAGAGGUGAAAUUCGUAGAUAUUGGGAAGAACACCGGUGGCGAAGGCGGCUCUCUGGACCGAUACUGACGCUGAGGCGCGAAAGCGUGGGGAGCAAACAGG
rnacentral:rRNA from 1 species